UCCCUGUUGUGACUGCCCGGAGCAUAGACUCUGCUGUCCCUUUUCUUCUUAGAAGAGCACUGAUGUCAUCACGGGGGCCUCAGCCUUGUCACGUCAUUUAAACCUAAUCAGAUCUCAAAGGCCCACCCCUUAACGUCACAGUGGGUUUUAGGGGUAACACAACAGUCAGGCCAUCAGAAAUAGGAAGCCAGGAUGAGCUGGUCAGAUCUGGCCCUGGGCCUGGCAGGCUCCGGGGUUUGGGGUUUGCUUCUUAAACAGGAACUGGCAGAUAGACCUGCUUCUUGGUGCGGUGAGAGCUGCAUGCAGGCCCCGCGGAGGAAGCCCUCAGGAGCUGCACGUAAGGAGGCAUCGAGGGGGAAGGAAGGGUAGCAUUUGCCCCCUGCCCCUGGUGGGCCCUGGUCGGUCCCUGCCCAUGGGCUCUGCAUUUAAUUUUGCCUGCCUGUGAGUCCCCAUGUCGUUUCCAUUCAGUCGGGUUCUGCUUCUUUUUCUUGCUCGUGGGACAAUGCUGACCCAUUUAGGCUUGGCAAGGGUUCGGCUCUUCCUCUUGGAGGGGUGGGAUCAUGGUGGGUGGGGAGAUGGGGCCAGGCCUCCUAGAUCUGAUGCUGGCACGUGUGACUCGGGUGGGACCCUGCACCUUCCAAGCCUCCAUCUGCACACACAGUGUGGCUCCAGAGGAGAGAAUGAGGUAAGUGCAAGGCUGUGAGCAGGGCCUCAACUGGCCCAGGCACUGACGGAAACACACCCGAGCCAGAGAGACGUGAUCCUGUGACCCAAGUAGCAUCACCUGGAACAUUGCUGAUCUGGCUCUCAGUGAGGGGUGUCGGGGUUUCUGCUGAGUCUGGGGGAUGCAGAGAGGGCUGUACCCUUCCCUGAGCACUUAGUAGGGCAACACCAAGGCCCAUUUCGGGGCAAUUGGACCUUUCUUAGCCAGAGAAGUGGAAAGAACACCAGUCCCUGUCCACCAGCGAUUCCAUCCCCAAGUUUCCUAGCGGAAGUCCUGCACAUGGGCCCCAGGAGGCCACCUGCAGAGGCUCAGAGUAGCCCCAGUGGAAAUGGCCAGCAGCUGGAUGCCACCCGAGGGCCAGCCACAGGAGAACAGAGACCAGGCGAAGAGUAUUCACACCGGGCCCAGGAGAGGGUGAGCCACCAUGGCCACCUGCACCAACCCCGGCGAGAACAACCCAGUGCUGAAUUCAGAAUCGCAGGUGGCAGGAGGAUCAAAGAUGCAUUCCUCAUAAACCUAGAAAACCAGCAAACCAGGCAUUGUCUCAUUUAGGGACACAUUCCCGCUUGCCAAACCCGGAGCAAAACAAGGAGCAAGACAGAAACGAGAUUCUGGGAGAGGCUGGAGCUUGCUGGCGGGAGUCGGGAGGGCUGAGGCAGAUCCCCCUAAGUGCUCCUGCUUUGGCAAGUUCCUAAGCUGUUAGGCUUGUUAUUAUUCUUUGUAAAUUAAUAUAUAACUCGAAUUUUCCUGAGUAGAUGAUGUUUCAUAAGAAAAGUUUUAAGCAUAGAAUAUUGGGCUUCUCUCCUUUUUUUUUAAAUCAGAUUUUAUAAACCUUUUGAUUUCUUUUCUUUUUUUUAAUGAGCAAGGAUAAUUUUUCUUCUGAAAUUUAUUAAAAAGAUUUAACAGCCCAUAGUGUCUCUGGCUCAGGGUUUGGCCCUGGGGAGGCUCUGCGCACAGCCUGGAGACCCAAGAGAAUAAGCUGAGAUGCGCACAGCUGGCCCCGCCCCCCCACCUCGUGCAGGGCCCCGCCCAGGCCCCGCCCAGGCCCCCUCCAUCACUGCACUGUGAGGUGGCCCCGCCCAGGCCCCGCCCAGCACUGUCAUCGCUGGAGACAGCCCGCAGGAGCCUUCGCUCCUGUCCUCCUACCCCCUCCAUUUCGGCCUCUACUUGGCCUCUAGGGAUCUUAGUAAUCAACCUGGCAUUAGGUCACUUUACUAGCCAAGGCUUCCUGCCUCCUUAUUUCAUGGUAGUCUUAGGUGGGACAUGAAGACUCACCCGCCAAACUCCACGCACAACUGCAGGAAUGGAGUCCUCAAUAAGGCUGUGCCUGGGGACAGGACACCUCCUGGCAGCCAGGUUUGGGCUCCACCCCCUGCUGUGACUUCUCUCUGGAUGACUUUCCUGUCCCUGAUGGACCCUUCAGGGCUCACUUCAGGUGACACACCCCCCAGGAAGCCCCCCCCCCAUGCCCAUCCUGUGUACCCACAGCCCCUCUGCCGACCCCUGGCAAAGCACCCUGAACUCUAUAGUGCUCUAUAAAAAUGUAUAUAGAAAUGUCCUGUGUGUCUCCUGUGCUCAGCUACAAGGUCCAAGGCAGGAAUUGGGCCUUGUAUUUCUUCUUGUUGGGUAAUGACUGCAGAGGCCCUAGCACGGUGACACCAAGUGGCAGCCGCACGGGAGCAGGAUGUUGUCUGUUUUGAUUACUAUGUGUUCCAAAGGCCUACAACAGUGCCUGCCACGAAGUGGACCUGCCAUCUAUGGUUAUGGGUAAAUGAGCGAGCAGAUGUUAAACCGAAUAAAGGAGAAUUCUGCUAUUA